GUCUAUGGCCACGCUGCCCUGAACGAGCGUGACCCCGUCUGAUCUCGGAAGCUAAGCAGGGCCGGGCCUUGGAAGCUAAGCAGGUUAGUACUUGGAUGGGAGACCACCUAGGAAGACUGGUGCUGUAGGCA
ensembl:rRNA 5S_rRNA 5S ribosomal RNA